CAAUCCUCCAACCUCAGCAUCCCCACUCCCUUGAGUAGCUGGGACUGCAGGCACGUGCCACCAUGCCCAGCUAAUUUUUGUAUUUUUUGUAGAGACAGGGUUUCUUCAUGUUGCCAGGCUGGUUUCAAACUCCUGGGCUCAAGCGAUCCUCCCAAAGUGUUCGGCCUCCCAAAGUGCUGGUAUUAUAGGCAUGAGUUACCGUGCCUGGCCAAGACUCUUUAAUUUAAAAUCGCUUUUUCAGAAACAGCAAAUGGAAGACCCUGAGACAGGAGACUGCCUGAUACACGCAAGUUCCAGCAAGAGUCCACGGCAGCUAAGUCACAGUGAGCAAGGGGAACAAGGAUGAGAGAUGCAGUCAAAGAGGCCAUCGUGAGGGCUCUUGUCGGUCGGCCAUGGUGCCGGGAGCAAAGAGAUGAUUAAGACACCAUCCCAGGCCUCAAGCCCCACGAAACGCAGGGGAAGCGCCAUGCUAUGCAGCCAGCAAUCGUUUUACCUUUUAAGAGCUCUGAGAGAGACACCCACUGGAAAGGGGUGCAGAGGACCCCAGAGGAUCAACUAACCCAGUGUGGGAGGGUCAGGGAAAGCUUCAUAGAGGCCGUGACCCUUAGGGCAAAUCUUGAGAGGAAGAUGGCCAGGCAGAGGAAAUGGGAAAGUCUGUUCCAGCACCAUAUUUGCUAGAUUCUUGGCACUUUAUGUAUAGCAUCUCCUUUAAUCUUCACAACUACCCUGCUGCACAGCAUUUUAGAGGUGAGGAAACUAAGGCUGAGAGAGAUUAAGUUACUUGCCCAAGGGUACACAGAGACAAAGCCAGGACUAACUCAUAACAAAGUGGGUAGGUUUUGUUUAUUUUGCAUGUCAGAUUGCUUCUAGAAAUAACAGCA
rnacentral:lncRNA from 10 species